UAAGAGAUGAUUUUUAUCAGGUGAAGCCUUUUGUCAUCUUGAUAGGCGACCACUGUAACUGUGACUGAAGCUCUGCUGGUUCCUAUAGUUGCUUAACAUGCUUUCCACAAUUCUUUAAGGCCCUUUGCUGUGAUCUAGUGCAUGCACUCUGGAAAAUGUUGGUGGAAUCAGCACCUUGGGGAGGCAGAAGUGGCCACGGUAAACCAGUCUGGAAGAAUAACUUCUUGUUCCUGAACCAGUAAAAUUUCCAGGCUGAAAAUGCUGUUUGCAUUCCUGGCCUGGCUGCCUCCUCCAGCAAGCAGUCAUUCUGUUAUCAGUUCUGUAGCCACAUCUUCAUCUCUGACUCAAAUUCCUCUGCUCCAUCUUUUACGUAUAAGGACCUCUGUGAUGACAUCGGACCUACCAGGAUAAUGGAGGAUAAUCUCUCCAUCUCAAAAUUCUAAUGUAAUUAUACCUGCAAAUUCCCUUUUGCCAUAUAAGAUAAUGAAUUCACAAGUUCCAUGUUUUAGGACAUAGGCAUCUUUAAGGGGUCAUUUUACCUUCCACAGUGACUGAUAAAAUAUGGCAGAAGGAACAAUGUGUGAUUUCCUUUGCAUUGCAACUUCUGUUUUGCUUUCUGGAAUGUUUUGUUCUGGGGAAGUUAGCUGCCAAGUUUGAGGACGCUCAAGCAGCCCUGUGGAGAGACCAUACAGGGAAAAACAAAGACUUCUCUGCCACAGACAGCACCAACUUGCCAGUCAUGUACGUGAGACUCCAUGGAGUGGGUCCUCCAGUCUUAGUCAGAUCUUCUGACAAACACAGCUCCAGCCAGCAUCUGACAGCAACCUCAUGAAAGACCCUGCCUAGACACUCCUGAACUCUGACACAACAAGAAAGGAUUAUUUUUUAGUCCACU
rnacentral:lncRNA from 1 species